rnacentral:tRNA from 1 species
GCCUCCAUAAUAUAAUGGCAUUAUGCAAGACUUUUAAUCUUGUCAUCUGGGUUCGAUUCCCAGUGGUGGCU